ensembl:lncRNA
UGUUGUAGAUGUGGUUGAUGAAGCUUUAGUUGUAGGCAGUGUUGUUGAAGUAAUGGGUGUGGUUUUGUUCCUCACAACUGUGGUGGUGGGGAUUUCAGUAGAUGAGGAAGCUGUAGUUACUGAUGUUGUCACAGGUGCAGUUGUUUCUGAAGAUGUAGGCAUAGUUGUUGAAGUAAGAGUUGUGGGUUCAGAAGUUACAGCUGUUGAUGUUGUUGGAUCGUUUUUUGUUGUAGAUGUGGUUGAUGAAGCUGCAGUUGUGGUCUCUGCUGUUGUACUUUCUGAAGUUGUAGGCAGUGUUGUUGAAGUAAUAGUUGUGGUCUCUGUACUCACAUCUGUGGUUGUGGGACUUUCAGCAGUUGAGUAUGCUGUAGUUACUGAUGUUGUUACAGGUGCGGUUGUUUCUGAAGAUGUAGGCAUUGUUGAUGUAAGAGUUGUGGAUUCUGAAGUUACAGCUGUUGAUGUUGCUGGAUUGUUUGUUGUUGUAGAUGUGGUUGAUGAAGCUGUAGUUGUGGUUUCUGCUGUUGUACUAUUUGAAGUUGUAGGCAUUGUUGUUGAAGCAAGUGGUGUGGAUUCUGAAGUUACUGCUAUUGAUGUUGUUGGAUCGUAUGUUGUUGUAGAUGUGGUUGAUGAAGCUGCAGCUGUGGUUUCUGCUGAUGUACUUUUUGAAGUUGUAGGCAUUGUUGUUGAAAUAAGAGUUGUGGAUUCUGAAGUUACUGCUGCUGAUGUUGUUGGAUCAUUUGUUGUUGUAGAUGUGGUUGAUGAAGCUGUAGUUGUAGGCAGUGUUGUUGAAGUAGUAGUUGUGGUCUCUGUACUCACAACUGUGGUUGUUGGAAUUUCACUAACUGACAAUCCUUUAGGUGCUGAUAUUUUUACAGAUGCAGUUGUUUCUGAAGAUGUAGGUAUUGUUGUUGAAGUAAGAGUUGUGGAUUCUGAAGUUACUGCUGUUGAUGUUGUUGGAUCAUUUGUUGUUGUAGAUGUAGGUGACAAAGCUGUAGUUGUAGGCAGUGUUGUUGAAGUAGUAGUUGUGGUCUCUGUACUCACAACUGUGGUUGUUGGAAUUUCACUAAUUGACAAUCCUUUAGUUGUUGAUAUUGUUACAGGUACAGUUGUUUCUGAAGAUGUAGGUAUUGUUGUUGAAGUAAGAGUUGUGGAUUCUGAAGUUACAACUGUUGAUGUUGCUGGAUUGUUUGUUUUUGUAGAUGUGGUUGAUGAAUCUUUAGUUGUGGUCUCUGCUGUUGUACUUUUUGAAGUUGUAGGCAGUGUUGUUGAA